rnacentral:tRNA from 1 species
GGGGCGUUGGCGCAGUUGGUAGCGCGAUUGCUUUGCAAGCAAUAGGCCACGGGUUCGAACCCCGUACGCUCCACCA